GUAUUGUAUUGCGUUAAACGCGACAUGCAUUCCAUAAGACUUUGUUACGGCGUGUGUGUAAAGACGUAGGACCACGGCAAGGGGGACGGGGUCCCCAAGGCCAUAGAACUACAGAGGGUGCACAGGUGUGAGUGGAUGUGUAAACAGAGCGUGCACGUGCCCCCUUUCGAGGACCAGCAACAACUCGUGUCGACGGUUCGGUAAUGAUCCUUCCGCAGGUUCACCUACGGAAA
rnacentral:misc_RNA from 1 species